CCUACGGGUGGCAGCAGUGAGGAAUAUUGGUCAAUGGACGAGAGUCUGAACCAGCCAAGUAGCGUGAAGGAUGACUGCCCUAUGGGUUGUAAACUUCUUUUAUAAAGGAAUAAAACGAGGCACGUGUGCCUUUUUGCAUGUACUUUAUGAAUAAGGAUCGACUAACUCCGUGCCAGCAGCCGCGGUAAUACGGAGGAUCCGAGCGUUAUCCGGAUUUAUUGGGUUUAAAGGGAGCGUAGAUGGGUUGUUAAGUCAGUUGUGAAAGUUUGCGGCUCAACCGUAAAAUUGCAAUUGAUACUGGCAGUCGUGAGUACAGUUGAGGUAGGCGGAAUUCGUGGUGUAGCGGUGAAAUGCUUAGAUAUCACGAAGAACCCCGAUUGCGAAGGCAGCUUACUAAACUGUGACUGACAUUGAUGCUCGAAAGUGUGGGUAUCAAACAGGAUUAGAUACCCCAGUAGUC
rnacentral:rRNA from 1 species